rnacentral:sRNA from 1 species
GCCAGGUGCGGUGGCACACGCCUGUAAUCCCAGUGGUGUGGGAGGCUGAGGCAGGAGGAUUGAGUUCAAAGCCAGCCUCAGCAAAAGCGAGGCACUAAGCAACUCAAUAAGACCCUGUCUCUA